rnacentral:misc_RNA from 1 species
GAUGAAGAACGCAGCGAAAUGCGAUAAGUAAUGCGAAUUGCAGAAUUCAGUGAGUCAUCGAAUCUUUGAACGCACAUUGCGCCCGCCAGCAUUCUGGCGGGCAUGCCUGUCCGAGCGUCAUUUCAACCCUCAGGGUCCCCCCGCCUCGCGCGGUCGGAGCCUGGUGUUGGGGAUCGGCCCGCCCCGCGCGGCGCCGUCCCCCAAAUACAGUGGCGGUCCCGCCGCAGCCUCCCCUGCGCAGUAGUUAUCAACUCGCACUGGAGCGCGGCGCGGCCACGCCGUAAAACCCCCGACUUUCAGAAAGUUGACCUCGGAUCAGGUAGGAAUACCCGCUGAACUUAAGCAUAUCAAUAAGCGGAGGA